rfam:Oryza brachyantha chromosome 10, whole genome shotgun sequence.
AUGAUCAAUAAUGAAGAUCUUAUCCAAUACAUCAUCACUGGUUUGGGCCUAGAUUAUAGUGAAGUGGUGUCCGCUAUUUGUGCAAGAGGUGAACCGAUCACGUUGGGUGAGUUAUAUUCCCAACUCCUCAAUUUUGAAA